GACAAACGCUGGCGGCGUGCUUAACACAUGCAAGUCGAACGGUACUCCUACGGGAGUAUAGUGGCGGACGGGUGAGUAACACGUAGUCAACCUACCCUAAAGUGGGGAAUAACCCCUCGAAAGAGGAGCUAAUACCGCAUACGCUCUUUGGUGAUAGCUAGAGAGGAAACGAUAGCUGUGACAGGCUAUGGGCUUUAGGAUGGGACUGCGGCGGAUUAGCUAGAUGGUGGGGUAACGGCCACCAUGGCGACGAUCCGUAGCUGGUCUGAGAGGACGACCAGCCACACUGGGACUGAGACACGGCCCAGACUCCUACGGGAGGCAGCAGUGAGGAAUAUUCCACAAUGGGCGCAAGCCUGACGGAGCGACGCCGCGUGGGGAAGAAGCCUUUCGGGGUGUAACCUCUUUCUCCCGGAUGAUACGUUCGGAAGCCGCAAGGUAGCCGAACUAAGACAGUACGGGAGGAAUAAG
rnacentral:rRNA from 1 species